rnacentral:tRNA from 1 species
GCGCAUGUGGCGGAAUUGGCAGACGCCCCGGAUUUAGGUUCCGGUACUCGCAAGGGUGUGGAGGUUCAAGUCCUCUCAUGCGCA